rnacentral:rRNA from 1 species
CGAACGCUGGCGGCAGGCCUAAUACAUGCAAGUCGAGCGCACUCUUCGGAGUGAGCGGCGGACGGGUGAGUAACGCGUGGGAAUAUGCCCUUCUCUAAGGAAUAGCCUCGGGAAACUGAGAGUAAUACCUUAUACGCCCUUCGGGGGAAAGAUUUAUCGGAGAAGGAUUAGCCCGCGUUGGAUUAGGUAGUUGGUGGGGUAAUGGCCUACCAAGCCUACGAUCCAUAGCUGGUUUGAGAGGAUGAUCAGCCACACUGGGACUGAGACACGGCCCAGACUCCUACGGGAGGCAGCAGUAGGGAAUCUUAGACAAUGGGCGCAAGCCUGAUCUAGCCAUGCCGCGUGUGUGACGAAGGCCUUAGGGUCGUAAAGCACUUUCGCCAGAGAUGAUAAUGACAGUAUCUGGUAAAGAAACCCCGGCUAACUCC